AAAUCAAUAAAUAAAUACACACAAACAUACAAAAAUUAGCCACGUGUGGUGGCUCAUGCCUGCAGUCUCAGCUACUCAGGAGGCUGAGGUGGGAGGAUCACCUGAGGCCAGGAGUUCAAGACCAGUCUGGGCAAUACAACGAGACCUCAUCUCUACAAAAAUUUAAAAAAUUAGGUAGCGUGGAGCCGCAUGCCUGUGGUCCCAGCCACUCGAGAGGCUGAGGUGGGAGGAUUGCUUGAGCCUGGGAGGUGGAGGCUGCAGCGAGCCACGAUCGCACCACUGCACUCCAGCCUGGGCAACAGAAACACCCUGCCUCAAAAAAAAAAAAAUCACAGAAGCCCUGGGGGAGGCCAGGUCGGGGCGGAGGAAGCCCCUGAGUGAUAAUAAACUCCCCCCAUGCCUCCCUCCUCUCUCCUGUCAUCCACGCUCCCUUUGGAGCUUGAGCUGGGGAGGGGCAGGGAUGGGGGAUGCUGUUGAAAGAUGCUCACAGAUUGUCUCUAGAAGCUUCUCUCAUGCCUGGAGACAGGCACUGUGGACCCCAGACCCAGAGGGGAUGCCCCACAGCCCCUGGUGGGAGCCAGGACUUGAGCCCAGGGCAGAGCUAUAAGCCCCAAACGCUGGAGGGGCGGUCGGAGCUGGGGAAGAGACCAGCCUGGGCAGAGGCAGCUGGGCGGGGUGUCCUUAAUGAGCCCCAGAACGAAGGGUCCCCACCCUCAUUCUCCCUGGGCUGCUCCAGAUGCAACUCCUGACGCAGCAGGGCUCGCGCUGCUCCACGCCAGUGACCCGUGGGGCCUGGGAGCGGCCUCAGUUUCCCCCUCUGCACAGGGAAGGGUGUCUCCUGCGACUCAGCGCCCCUCCCCCGACACAAGUCCAUUAGGGCGCAUUGAUCGCUCCUGGGCCGAAGCUCUCCGUUUCUGGAUCAAUGAGGGUGGGGGAGCGAGGGGCUGUCGGGUGGGCAGGCCCCUGGGAGGCCUGGGCAGGGUCUCUCCCUCUCUCACGCUCUAAAGGGAGGGAUCUGGUCUGAGAUAUUCCAGACUCGAGCCCAGAGCAGGUGACUCUGCAGUUCUGGCCCCGGAAGCCAACGUCGGAGCCCCGGAAUGUGUAGGGACAAAUGGAUAGGGAGCCGCUGGCUGUUUCUGCUCCAACAGGCGACCGUGCAGGAAGGCCCAGAGCUUGGGUCCAGAGCUUGCCGGGCACGGUGGCCCACGCCUGUGAGCCCAGCAUUUUGGGAGGCCGAGGCAAGAGGAUCCCUUGGGCCCAGGAGUUUGAGACCAGCCUGGGCAAUAUAGCAAGACCCCCAUCUCUACAAAUAAUUUUUAAAAAUAGCCAGGUAUGGUGGUGUGCACCUGUGUUUCUAGCUACUCAGGAGGCUGAGGCAGGAGGAUCGCUGGAGCCCAAGAAGUCAAGACUGCAGUGAGCCAUGAUCACACCACUGCCUUCCAGUCUGGGCACCAGCAAAAGACCCUGUCUCAAAAAGAAGGGCCUGAAGAGCUUUUCUGAGGAUGCAGCAAGAUGGCAGAGGUAGAGUAGAAGAAACGGACCUUCCGCAACUUCACCUACCGCGGCGUGGACCUGGACCAGCUACUGGACACGUCCCCCGAGCAGCUGUUGCAAUUGUAUGGUGCGCUCCGGCGGCGGCUGAACCGAGGCCUGUGGCGGAAGCAGCACUCGCCGCUGAAGCGCCUGCGCAAGGCCAGGAAGGGGGCUCCGCCCAUGGAGAAGCCGGAAGGGAUGAGGACGCACCUGCGGGACACGCUUCUCCUGCCCGCGAUGGUGGGUAGCACGGUGGGCGUCUACAACGGCAAGACCUUCAACCAGGUGGAGAUGGCCGGGCGCGGCGGCUCAGGCCUGUAAUCCCAGCACUUUGGGAGGCCAAGACGGGAGGAUCACCUGAGGUCGGGAGUUCGAGACCAGCCUGACCAACAUGAAGAAACCCCAUCUCUACUAAAAAUACAAAAAAAAAAAAAAAA
ensembl:lncRNA